GACGGAGGGUGCAAGCGUUGUUCGGAAUUACUGGGCGUAAAGGGCGCGUAGGUGGCCCGCUAAGUCGAACGUGAAAUCCCUGGGCUCAACCCAGGAACUGCGUCCGAUACUGGCAGGCUUGAAUCCGGGAGAGGGAUGUGGAAUUCCAGGUGUAGCGGUGAAAUGCGUAGAUAUCUGGAGGAACACCGGUGGCGAAGGCGGCAUCCUGGACCGGUAUUGACGCUGAUGCGCGAAAGCCAGGGGAGCAAACGGG
rnacentral:rRNA from 1 species